ensembl:lncRNA
UGCAAUCAACUGUGUUCAGAUUGACUAAAUAUUCUAACAUUAUUAACAUUUUCUUUAUAUUUCAAUGUGGUUACUUCAGAAAUGCACACCAGUUUCCAACAUUCGGUUUUGAAUGUGUUUUUAACAGUUUUGAGAACAGUGUGUAAGCAUUCGAGAAAUCAUGUGCAGUGAAUAUAUUUUUUUGUAGAUGGCGGAUUAUGAAUGAGAAAAAGAGUUCAUGGAUUUGGGAAAACGUGUUUGUUGAAUGCAUUUUGUGUGAAGGCAAUGGGAAUUUCUUUCACAGUUUGGUUCACAUACACGUCGGUUUUGCUGACUGUGUGAAGAGUUUUGUUAAUGUGACUUCUGUAUUGUUUCGAUGCUUGUUAGCAAUCGAGAAAAACUGUAAUAACCCAAAUUCGCACUCCAAGCCCUUCUGGAAUAUUCCAUGUUAUGUUUAAUGACAUUACUGUCUUUCCCUCGCUUUCCCUCUCCCUAUGUCUCUCGGUUACACGAGAGAGUUAAAUAUAAAAAACAACAACAGCAGCUCUGUGCCAUUUAAAUAACAAUUGUAUGACAAUGAAAUGCUCAAAAACACCAUCUGAGGGAACUGUCUGUGCUGGUCCCCUACGCAGCAUCAACGUGGCCUUGCUGAAAAAGCCCAGAAACCGAUUUAUUACAAAAAAUAGAAAUAACUAUAAAUAUGUCUAGGCGAAAUGGAAGACAUUCCCAGUGUUCUGUUGCAGAGAGACGAAGGGGAGGAGAGAGCGUGUGUUUGUGCGUUGUCGCAGUGUUCCAUCUCACAGUGAGGGGGGUGGGGUCAGAGACUCAGAGUGAUGUCACACUGUGGUCUGGGUUGCCGGGCGAUCGAUCACGCAACACUCCGUGUUUGGAACAGUGAUGGGUCACUGUAGGUGGUGGGUGUAAGAACUCCAGGCUACUUUAAUUGCCUUUCUGGUGUGUGUGUGUGCGCGCGUGUGUGUGUGUGUCCUCAAGAGUGCGUGUAGGCACGCAUGCAAAUGUGUGUGAAGAACAACAUUAGGAAUUAACUAUGGCCCUUGGUGGUUGAGUGGGCAUAGACACUGCUACGGUCUCUCUUUUAAUGACCUCUAGGCUAGGAAGAGGGGAGGGGGGUGUGGGAGGGAGAGAAGGCAUGAGGGAGAAAGGGAAGGAUGGGGAGAGAUAUGGAGGUAAAGGAAAGACGUGAGAGAUGAUGAGAGGGGGCCGGAGGGAGGGCGAGGGAGGACUGAUGAGAGGGCAGGAGUUAGAGGAGUGAUGAGAGGGAGGGCUGCUGGGAGAAAGAGAGGAGAAAGCGAAGGCAUGGAGGAUAUGAGUAUAAACUGGGAGAGAGUGCUCAGAUGAAACACAGACAGGCUACUUCAGACUAUUUAGUUCACUGUUUUUGCUUGCCUUACGACAGACAAACGUCAAAUGAACGUCUAAUAUAGCACUUUGCCUCGCUUUUGACGGAAGAAAAUAAACCGCAAGCCCCUGAAGACCGUUGUUCUGGCCUUGUGGAGUGGAAAAGCGGCGCUGUUGGCCGUGGUUCAAAUAGCUGAGUACGGUGCUACGAUUGGUAACUACAGUAGAUGUUCUUUGGUUCUCUCUCCCUCAGUCCCCCAGCUUCACAACAGCAUCUCGCCCUGCAGCGCACCAGCUAGCUGCAGAGAACUACUGGGGAGAGAGAGGAGAAAAACACCAUCUAGCUACUGCCGACUAAUGCUGCGCGUGAUAAUAGAUAGCUACUGAAACCCAGUGUUGAGAGAUAACGAGAAGAAAAAAAACAGGUACAUAUAGAUACCUCUGGACAGAGAUGGAGGAGAGGGGAGGAGUGGCAGAGAGGGUCUAUCUACUGAGACACCACGUUUGAAUUAUACCAUGGAACUAGAGGAGAAGAAGGAGCGCGCUGACGGUUGAGGAGGAGCAAGAGUUGGAUGUAGAGGUAGUGGUGAGAGGAAGGAGCAACAGAGCAGCCAGCUAUUCUGACCCAGUCUGGAGGAAAUGUGUAGGCUGAUGGGAGAGAGAGGAGGCAGGGAGAGAAGAGAUGUGGCAGGGAGAGAGAAAAGAGGGGGAGGGAGCGAGAAAAGCUGGCAGAGGAGAGGAGGCAGGGCGAGAGAGGAAUGAGGGUGAGAGAGAAAGUAGGGAGAGAAGAGGCAGGGAGAGGGGUGGAAACGAGGGAGAGGAGGGAGAGAGGGGAGGCAGGGAGACAGCAUGGAGAGGGUGAAAAAGGCAGAGUGAGACAAAUGUAAAAAACAGGAAGACAUAUAGAGACGGAGGGGGAAAACUAAACAGGAAGACGUACAGAGACGGAGGGGAAAACUAAACAGGAAGACGUACAGAGACGGAGGGGAAAACUAAACAGGAAGACGUACAGAGACGGAGGGGAAAACUAAACAGGAAGACAUAUAGAGACGGAGGGAAAACUAAACAGGAAGACGUACAGAGACGGAGGGAAAACUAAACAGGAAGACAAACAGAGACGGAGGGGAAAACUAAACAGGAAGACAUAUAGAGACGGAGGGGAAAACUAAACAGGAAGACAUAUAGAGACAGAGGGGAAAACUAAACAGGAAGACGUACAGAGACGGAGGGGAAAACUAAACAGGAAGACAUAUAGAGACGGAGGGGAAAACUAAGUUAGAGGCAUAGGGAACAUACACAGGAGAGAGACAUUACCAUAUUAUGAAAUAUGUUCUGGAAGAAAGGAGACAGGAUUUGUAGCGCUCUAGGGCAUUAUGCUACACUUAGUGAGGCAUGCACAGUGAAUGUGUGUUAUGGCAGAGAUAUGAGAGGAAAUACGGAGAAAAGUGGGAAAGCGAUGGAGGGAGAUAGCGAGGGGAAAAGAGGUGGAGGGAGGGAAGAGACAGGCGUUUAGAAAACCCAUGGAAUUAGAUUUUCUUUAAGUGGUUUUGAUCGUCGCUUCUUCUAAGCUUCGCUCUCUCUAUUUAUCUAUCUUGUUCUGUCUUUAUCUGCCUCUUUCUCUCCAUUCCCAGUGCCUUUCAGUCUUUCACUCUCUCUCUCUCUCUCUCUCUCUCUCUCUCUCUGUCUUUCACUCUCUCUCUCUGUGUGUCUUUCUCUCUCUCUCUCUCUCUUUCUCUCUCUCUGGCUGCGACUACUGAAAUGGCAGUGAAUCCCUGUGGCUUUAUAGACAUGCGCUUGGCAUCUCCGAUGGAGACAGUGUGUGUGUGUGUGUGUGUGUUUGAACUCAGGAUAAGUGUAUGUGCACAACGGUAUUGUCAUUGCUUUUAAGCAAAAGGAUGUUUUGCAUCCGCGACUUUCAUUGUGUGUGCUGACGCAUGUGGUUGUUGGUGGGGGGUGGUUGUGUGUGUGUGUGUGUGCGGGUGGGUGUGCGGGUGGGUGUGUUCUAUUCUAUUGAUCAAUCAUCCCUUCACUCCAGCCUGUAACGGUUUCAAAAGCCACUUAGCCAGAAUGGCCUAAUGAAGGUAACACACACACACACACACACACACACAUACACACACAGAUACACAGAUGGUGAUUGAAGGCUGAAAGACACCUGUAAUUUGCUAGGAGGUGGAGGGAGGUGCUGAUUAAUCUUUUCAUGGGUUAUAUAUAUAUAUAUAUAUAUAUAUUUGAAUACAUGCAUAUUGACUCCAUUCUGAUUAAUAAAAGUGUUACAUUGUCCACUGUUCAAAAUGGUGGACUGAGUAUUGAGAAAAAUGAGACAUUGAAAUGAGAAAUUAUUUGAUUCAUAAUUAUUCAUUUUCACUUUGUCAUGUUUAAAAAGCCUUUUUUACCUUUUUAUAUACCUGUAUCCAUCAACACAGAGCUACCGAACAGCCUGCAGUCUUCUAACGCUGCUCUCUCUGUCUUUAAUCCACCCAUUCUCACGCUGCUCUAACCAUCUUUAUUUAAUUCUAUAUCAUGCUGCUCAAUCCAUCUUUUUAUCCAUCCUUUCUCGCGCUGCUCUGUCCACCUUUAUUUCACCCUUUCUCGCGCUGCUCUAUCUAUCUUUAUUUCACGCUUUCUCGCGCUGCUCUGUCCGUCUUUAUUUUGCCCUUUCUCGCAUUGCUCUGUCCACCAUUAUUUCAACCUUUCUCGCGCUGCUCUGUCCGUCUUUAUUUUGCCCUUUCUCGCAUUGCUCUGUCCACCAUUAUUUCAACCUUUCUCGCGCUGCUCUGUCCGUCUUUAUUUUGCCCUUUCUCGCACUGCUCUGUCCACCAUUAUUUCAACCUUUCUCACGCUGCUCUGUCCGUCUUUAUUUUGCCCUUUCUCGCGCUGCUCUAUCCAUCUUUAUUUCAUUGUUCUCCCUGUCAGUCUUUAAACCCCAACAAUGACCCCUUUGACUUGGUCUUUGUUGCGUCUGUCUUCGACUCGUCUUCUACGCCGGUGGUUCUCAAACCUCUCCCCAGGGACCCCUGGUUGUUCCACAUUUCAGGUGAACUGCUCCAGGUGUCCCCAGAGAGAAGGUUUUAGGAGGGUUCCUACGGACAUUCUUUGGCUGUUCUUUGGAUGUUCUGAGGAUGAUGUUCUAUGGAUGAGUGAAGAGUGCACACAGGAGAGCCUGUCAUAGAUGGAUCUGGUAUUUCCGUCCCUCUGAGUCUGUCCCUCCAUCUUGUGUUCCUCUCCUCCUCCCUUCCUUCCUUCACAGUGUCCCUCUGUCUGCAUUACAG